rnacentral:rRNA from 1 species
UCCGAUUUACCUGGUUGAUCCUGCCAGUAGUCAUAUGCUUGUCUCAAAGAUUAAGCCAUGCAUGUCUAAGUACAUACCUUUGCACGGUGAAACCGCGAAUGGCUCAUUAAAUCAGUUAUGGUUCCUUAGAUCGUUCAUACUACAUGGAUAACUGUGGUAAUUCUAGAGCUAAUACAUGCAAAAAGCUCCGACCGUAUGGGAAGAGCGCUUUUAUUAGACCAAAACCAAUGGGGUCGCAAGAUCCCUUUGUAUGGUGACUCUGGAUAACUUUGUGCUGAUCGCAUGGCCUCGAGCCGGCGACGUAUCUUUCAAGUGUCUGCCCUAUCAACUUUCGAUGGUAAGCGAUUUGCCUACCAUGGUUGUAACGGGUAACGGGGAAUCAGGGUUCGAUUCCGGAGAGGGAGCAUGAGAAAUGGCUACCACAUCUACGGAAGGCAGCAGGCGCGCAAAUUACCCACUCCUAGAACGGGGAGGUAGUGACGAAAAAUAACAAUACCGGACUCAAUGAGGCUCGGUAAUUGAAAUGAGUACAGUUUAAAACCCUUAACGAGGAUCUAUUGGAGGGCAAGUCUGGUGCCAGCAGCCGCGGUAAUUCCAGCUCCAAUAGCGUAUAUUAAAGUUGUUGCAGUUAAAAAGCUCGUAGUUGGAUCUCGGGUACUAGCAUGUGGUACGCUUAACUGCUGUUACUACAUGUCUGGUCCUAAUCAACCGGUUGGCCGUUGAUGCCCUUUAUUGGGUGUUUUCGGUAGCCGGU